rnacentral:rRNA from 1 species
GACAGAGGAUGCAAGCGUUAUCCGGAAUGAUUGGGCGUAAAGCGUCUGUAGGUGGCUUUUUAAGUCCGCCGUCAAAUCCCAGGGCUACCACCGUGACAGGCGGUGGAAACUACCAAGCUGGAGUACGGUAGGGCAGAGGGAAUUUCCGGUGGAGCGGUGAAAUGCGUAGAGAUCGGAAAGAACACCAACGGCGAAAGACUCUGCGUGGGCCGACACUGACACUGAGAGACGAAAGCUAGGGGAGCGAAUGGG